UGGGGAAUAUUGGACAAUGGGCGAAAGCCUGAUCCAGCCAUGCCGCGUGUGUGAAGAAGGUCUUCGGAUUGUAAAGCACUUUAAGUUGGGAGGAAGGGCAGUUACCUAAUACGUAUCUGUUUUGACGUUACCGACAGAAUAAGCACCGGCUAACUCUGUGCCAGCAGCCGCGGUAAUACAGAGGGUGCAAGCGUUAAUCGGAAUUACUGGGCGUAAAGCGCGCGUAGGUGGCAUGACAAGUCACUUGUGAAAUCUCUGGGCUUAACCCAGAACGGCCAAGUGAUACUGUCGCGCUAGAGUGCAGAAGGGGCAAUCGGAAUUCUUGGUGUAGCGGUGAAAUGCGUAGAUAUCAAGAGGAACACCUGAGGUGAAGACGGGUUGCUGGGCUGACACUGACGCUGAGGCGCGAAAGCCAGGGGAGCAAACGGGAUUAGAUACCCAAGUAGUCCCUGAGCGGGCUGGCAAGGCGCAU
rnacentral:rRNA from 1 species